rnacentral:lncRNA from 1 species
GGGGCUGGCCCCGUGGCCGAGUGGUUAAGUUUGCGCGUUUCACUGCAGGCGGCCCAGGGUUUCGUUGGUUUGUAAUCCUCGGCGCUGACAUGGCACUGCUCAUCAAACCAUGCUGAGGCAGCGUCCCACAUGCCACAACUAGAAGGACCCACAACGAAGAAUAUACAACUAUGUACUAGGGGGCUUUGGGGGUAAAAGGAAAAAAAUAAAAUCUUAAAAAAAAAAAACAAAACAGAAGAGGAAGGAAGAAGAGUCAGAGAGCUCCAGCAGAAGGGAACGUUAGAGAGCUCUGAAGCCUGAAAAGGACAUCAUCUACUGUUGCUGGGUUUGAAGGGGGCCAUACUCAGGGAACGUAGGUGGUCUCUAGAAGCUGAGAAGAACCCCUAGCCACCAGCCAGCAAGGAAACAAGGGCUGCAGUCCUACAACUACAUGGAAGUGAAUUCUACUAAGCAACUUGAAUGAGCCUGGAAUGGGUUCUUUCCCAGAGUCUUCUGACACCUUGAUUUUGGCUUUGUGAGACCUAGGGCACAGAAACUAGCUCAGCUGACUGGACUUCUAAUCUAAGAGCUGUGAGAUAAUAAAUUUCUGCUGUUUCAAGCUGUAGAAAUAGAAAACUGAUAGCUUGCAGUAGUAUUAAAAGUGGGUAUUUUGGAGAUGCUGUAGGCUCAUGAGAACCUUUCUCUAACUGAAAUUCCUCUAAUCUUGGGCAAGACAAGCAUAUCUGCAUUGAGAUUUGUAUAUCUUGGGAAAUUUGAGAGGAGGCAGUGUGUUUCCUCGGCUUCCUAUAAAAUUCUAUCAAAGUUUCGGUGGGAGUUUAGCCAGUUUCCUCCUUCUCAACGCCAUUUUAAAUUAACCGUCUAAUGAUUUCCACAGCAUUAGGUCCUGAAUUAUUGCCCUCUUCUUGUUUUGAUUCCUUUCUUUUGUAAAACUGUAACCUUUGUAUUAUCUUGAAGUCUUAUAGGAGGAAGCUGGGAUAAAAGACCCUAGAUUGCAUCUUUUACAUCCUCUGAGGUCCUAGGAGCAAAAUCACAAAUGGUGUUCAUAGUGGUGGCGCUCCUUUCAUCGUAACCUGGGUGAGAGGCAUCCCCGGGGAGUUUGUCACUUAGCAAGUCCACUAACGGCUCACUGUCAUAUAGCCAGUCUGGUACUGUCUGCAUCAGCAGCAUUUCUGCAGCUUUAGUAGACAUUAGCACUUAAAUGACAUGGGAGGGGCAGAGCAGUUAACCUGCUCUAGUACGAAUGUCCCUGUCUUAAUCCAUUCUGGUCAGCAAGGACUUUUCCUUGAACUGUCCCCACAAAGACAGCAGCCGAAAAGGGAUCCAGGAUGAGUGCAAACAUCUCCUUCUACUCAACAGUGUUCAAAGCCAGAGGCACUGCUGCUUGAUCUAAGAUUCUCAGGAUCCAUUUUAACAGGGUCACCAGGACACUGCUUGUAACAGUCUACAAACUGCCUCCAAUUCAUUACUGCACAAUUCCUUACUUCACUGGUUUCUAGUCCUCCAUCUGCAACUUGCCCCACUUGAGUUAUCGCCUUAGUUGUAGUAGGUAUCACAGGCUAAGCUGACCCAUCAAAAGUUUGUGCCCAGGUUUCUUUGGCUGGGGCUCCAUUUGCCAACCAGAGAGGAUGAAGCUCCAUCAAAGGAGACUGUGGAUUGUCACUUUGCUAAUACUGAAAGGAGCAACCAGGAACUGAUUUAGCCAAUCUGCCAACAGUUGGCAACUUGUCUUCUAAUUUUGCUAGCUCCUGGCAUUCAGGUUCUAUCAUUUCUAGAUUGCAAUGGAAAGUCUUACAAUCAGUAGCUGAUUUCAAAGCCUGUGUUACUUCACACCAAGCACAGCUUGGCAACCACCUCUGCAUCAAUAGUUCAUUUGCAUCCCCUUUAUCAGAACCAUUCUUUUUCUUUCUAAAUAAUGUCUAACCCAUGUUUUUAGCAAAAACAUGCGUCAGAAGUCUUCUAAGAAAUCCCACC